rnacentral:rRNA from 1 species
AAGCAUCUAAGUGCGAAGCCCGCCCCAAGAUAAGAUUUCCAUGAGGGACGUCAGAGACGAUGACGUAGAUAGGUCGCAGGUGUAUAGGCAGCAAUGUCACAGCCGAGCGAAACUAAUCUCCCGAAACUUUCCGUAA